UACGUAGGGUGCAAGCGUUAAUCGGAAUUACUGGGCGUAAAGCGCGCGCAGGCGGCCCGCGAGGUGUCACGUGAAAGCCCCGGGCUCAACCCGGGAGGGUCGUGGCAAACCGGCGGGCUUGAGGCCGGUAGAGGUGGGUGGAACUCCUGGUGGAGUGGUGAAAUGCGUAGAGAUCAGGAAGAACACCCGUGGCGAAGGCGGCCCACUGGGCCGGUACUGACGCUGAGGCGCGAAGGCGUGGGGAGCGAGCGGG
rnacentral:rRNA from 1 species